GCACAAACAAACCACCACCGCUCCUCCAAUCCCACAUUCGCUCCAAGCUCGAACAAAGGAGAGACCGUCAGCCAUGUCCGGGCGCGGCAAGGGAGGCAAGGGGCUCGGCAAGGGCGGCGCCAAGCGCCACAGGAAGGUGCUGCGCGACAACAUCCAGGGCAUCACCAAGCCGGCGAUCCGGCGCCUGGCUCGGAGGGGCGGUGUCAAGCGCAUCUCGGGGCUCAUCUACGAGGAGACCCGCGGCGUGCUCAAGAUCUUCCUCGAGAACGUCAUCCGCGACGCCGUCACCUACACCGAGCACGCCCGCCGCAAGACCGUCACCGCCAUGGACGUCGUCUACGCCCUCAAGCGACAGGGCCGCACCCUCUACGGCUUCGGCGGCUUGUUCAAAUCUGCUUGCCACCCCACUAAUCGGCUCCUCUCGCCAUGUAACCGAUCCGCGGCAUCUCUCUCGCGGAUCCCCAUCUUGACCGUCCACUGCAUCCGCAUCGAACGGCAGGCACACGCCUCAUCCGACCUCUCGUCCCCAUUAAAAUCCCCUUCGCCCCUUCUUCCAAUCGCCACACGAAUCACCACCACUCCUCCAAUCCGACAUUUUUUCUCGCAGCUCGAGCCAAGGGGAGUUCGUCGGCGACCAUGUCCGGGCGCGGCAAGGGAGGGAAGGGGCUCGGCAAGGGCGGCGCCAAGCGCCACAGGAAGGUGCUCCGCGACAACAUCCAGGGCAUCACCAAGCCGGCCAUCCGGAGGCUCGCUCGGAGGGGCGGCGUCAAGCGCAUCUCGGGGCUCAUCUACGAGGAGACCCGAGGCGUGCUCAAGAUCUUCCUCGAGAACGUCAUCCGCGACGCCGUCACCUACACGGAGCACGCCCGCCGCAAGACCGUCACCGCCAUGGACGUCGUCUACGCCCUCAAGCGCCAGGGCCGCACCCUCUACGGCUUCGGCGGCUAGGCCCCUCGUGGUCGUCAAUCUUCGUUGCCCCCCUGCCGCUUCCUAAAGCUCGAUGAUUAUCUGACUUGUCUAGUUCGCUAUUUCCCCUGUAGUUCCAAGUGAAUCAUGAAACAAAGCUAUUCGCAUCUGGAGUUUGGACAUCGAGCUUGUCUUUGUGCAAAUACAGUGUUUGUGAUUUUGUCU